ensembl:lincRNA
GACAGAGCGAGACUCCAUCUCAAAAAAUAAAUAAAUAAAUAAAAGAAAAAGCUUCAUCCCAUUUUAACUUACCUUUUGAUUUUAUUAUUUGUGGGGAUAUUGCUAAUUGCCUCCCUGUGACCCCAAACUUCCUCAAUUAGCAAAUUCUCAGCAUCUUUGCCUGUCUCCUAUGGCACAUGAGACCCGUGUUCUACAUGCUCUUGCAGGUGCUAGUCUCUGGGGUUUUGUUGACAAAGCAAAUUAACAUGAUCUUUAUUAGCAAAUGUUUCCUUACCAUAAGCUUCUGGUUCUUUGGGUCUUAACAUUAAAUAUCUUUAUUUUCAAUUCAGUAACUCGGCCAGAUGUCCUGUCUCCCCUUUUUAGAUCUAUGGGUACUCUGAGAAAGGAUCUUGGAAGACAAUGACCUCAUAAUACUUGAAUUGUUCCACAUCAGGCUUCUGCUCAGGGAGUGUCAACCUAAGUGAGGCAGAAAUAAUGUGCUUUUAUUAUGCAGCUGGCAGAUGAAAUAUUGUGCUUGUUUUAUAAGAAAUUAUAUACUUAAAACUGGAGGCAUUUGCAGAUCUUAGGGCCAAUAAGUUGUAUUCAAUUACCUAAACAGGUUUGUUCAUCUCACAUGUUCCGCUUUAAUCAGGGUAUCUAGAAUCAGAGCUUCAAGAUGGCUGACUAGAGGCACCCAGCGCUGGCCUCCUCCACAAAGAAAGACAAAAAUGUGAGGGGGUCUCAGAAACACCCAUUACAAUGGCUUCCCAGGCUCCCCUCAGAACAGUCACAUGAUGCCUGGAAUGGUGCCUUCAGGGAGUCAUGCAGUGUCCGCUCAACAAGUGCUGCUUUCCAUUCUUCAGUAAUGACAGACAAUGAACGCUUUGAGGGCAGCGCAUGCAUCUUCAUAAGGAGCCCAGAGGAUGCUUGGCUUGUGAAUGUUUUCUCUGAAUUGCUGUUCAUGACUCCAUCCACCACCAUCAAGAUUGGGAGCACUACAUAAUGAUGGGAGUGCCUGAAGCCACAUCUAAG